rnacentral:rRNA from 1 species
GCCACCGCUAUUGGAGUUCGAUUAAGCCAUGCGAGUCGAGGGAAUUAGGUCCCGGCGUACUGCUCAGUAACACGUGGAUAAUCUACCCUUAGGUGGGAAAUAAGCUCGGGAAACUGAGUAUAAUGUCCCAUAGGUUUGAUUUCCUGGAACGGUUUCAAACCGAAAGCUACGGCGCCUAAGGAUGAAUCUGCGGCCUAUCAGGUUGUAGUGAGGGUAGCGGCCUCACUAGCCGACUACGGGUACGGGCCUUGAGAGAGGGCGCCCGGAGAUGGAUUCUGAGACACGAAUCCAGGCCCUACGGGGUGCAGCAGGCGCGAAAACUUCGCAAUGUGGGAAACCACGACGAGGGAACUCCAAGUGCUAGUACUUUGUGCUAGCUGUUUAGGUGCCUAAAACGCACUUAGAGUAAGGGGUGGGUAAGACUGGUGCCAGCCGCCGCGGUAAUACCAGCAGCCCAAGUGGUGGUCGCUAUUAUUGGGCCUACAGCGUCCGUAGCCGGUCUGAUAAAUUCUUGGGUAAAUUGUACAGCUUAACUGUGCGAAUUCCGAGGAGACUGUCAGACUUGGGACCGGGAGAGGUCGGAGGUACUCUCGGGGUAGGGGUGAAAUCCUGUAAUCCUGAGGGGACCACCGGUGGCGAAGGCGUCCGACUAGAACGGGUCCGACGGUAAGGGACGAAGCCCUGGGGCACAAACCGGAUUAGAUACCCGGGUAGUCCAGGGUGUAAACGCUGCGGGCUUGGUGUUGGAGGUCCUAUGAGGGUGUCCAGUGCCGGAGAGAAGUUGUUAAGCCCGCCGCCUGGGGAGUAUGGUCGCAAGACUGAAACUUAA